rnacentral:rRNA from 1 species
UACGAAGGGGGCUAGCGUUGUUCGGAAUUACUGGGCGUAAAGCGCGCGCAGGCGGUCUUCCAAGUCAGUGGUGAAAGCCUGGAGCUCAACUCCAGAACUGCCAUUGAAACUGUUAGACUUGAGUACGAGAGAGGUGAGUGGAAUUCCCAGUGUAGAGGUGAAAUUCGUAGAUAUUGGGAAGAACACCAGUGGCGAAGGCGGCUCACUGGCUCGUAACUGACGCUCAGGCGCGACAGCGUGGGGAUCGAAACAGG